GGUUGUGUAGUGUAGUGGUGAUCACUCCGGAUUUUGAUUACUAUUCAAUCAACCUUCCGGCAACCCCGGUUCGAGCCCGGGCACGACCU